CAGCCGCCACGGUAAUACGUAGGGUGCAAGCGUUGUCCGGAAUUAUUGGGCGUAAAGGGCUCGCAGGCGGUUUCUUAAGUCUGAUGUGAAAUCCCCGAGCUUAACUUGGGAACUGCGUUUGAAACUGGCAAGCUAGAGUCUUGUAGAGGGGGGUAGAAUUCCAGGUGUAGCGGUGAAAUGCGUAGAGAUGCGGAGGAACACCGAUGGCGAAGGCAGCCCCCUGGGAUAACACUGACGCUCAUGCACGAAAGCGUGGGGAGCAAACAGGAUUAGAUACCCCUGUAGUCCCUGUCUCUUAUAU
rnacentral:rRNA from 1 species